AGCUGCUUCCAGACUCAAAGAUGGAGUGCAUUUCUUUGUCUUCAGAAGUUGUGUGUGAAGGAGAACCUCCUGGAAAGUAUCCUAGAAAACUCCCCUGGCCUGACUGGGAUGAAGACAACCAGUGGAGAGGGUGUGGUUUCCUGUGGGAUUUCCCCAGAUGAGACCGCGUAGUGUACAGACAGGAAGCCGAAGUAUCGAGCGCCUGACCAGAGCUUCCUCCUGCGCAAGAGUGGGGGUUUCUCUGCCUCCAGUCUUAACUCUGCAUGCAUGGUCUGAGCCUUGAAAUCUACAGGAUAAGCAGCACCCAAACCUCCCAGCUGAGCCCUCCCAGCGCGGUGAAUGGAGCGCUUCAGUGUGCCCCUCUGCAAGACAACAAAGUGGAGUGAUGUAGAAUAGAAAACGAGAAAUGCAAACCUGUGCUGAUUGAAGAGAAGGAAGAAAAAUGGAAGAGAAAAAGCUGAAGAGUGGGAAAAAGAUAAAAUAAAAUGAAUUUUGGGGAUUCCACUGUGAGUAAGAGCCGAAAAAAAAGUAAGCUGAUUUAUUAUGUUUGUCUUCUGCCUGAGUGCCAGCACACUUUGUAUACGUGAAAGGUAAUUUGCACAUUAAAGAUUGAAUCAAAACGUCAACUUCUUCCUCAAUUCCUCCAGUUUUGAACCAGGAUAGUUCUGUCAGCUUUGAUGGGUUUACGUUCUGUAAAUGCAACAUAAUGAAUAUCAAGUCUUUGAAGUAAUUUUGAGUUAUGUUUAUGCUAAAGCAAUGAAAAAUUUCAAAUGACUUUUAAAUACUGUUGUGUCAGGGAAUCGGCACAUAUUCUACUGCUUCUCUUCACCACACAGGAGUUUUUUCUCUUGUCCUUGUCCUCUUGUGACUUUAUUCCAAAUCCAAUGGAAUUCAGAAAUAAGGGGUAGUGGUAUCAUUAUGUGCAUUAAUAUUUUCCUUGAAUUAUGAUUUAUAUAUAUUUUUUUCUUUUAAAUCUGUAUCUUAACCCACUUAAAUAACAACUAUUUAAACAGAGAGAGGAUGUGAGUUAAUUGAUGUAUGUAUUUAUUUUCUUUUUGUCAAAUGCUACUGAUUUAGAGACUACGAUGUUUGAUUGUAACAGAAGAGUUUGACUGGUUGUCCCUGGUUUAUUUCACAUCAAUUCUUUACUUUUUUGAAAUGGUUUA